rnacentral:rRNA from 1 species
GAUGAACGCUGGCGGCGUGYUUAACACAUGCAAGUCGAACGGGGAACAAAUUAUUGAAGCUUCGGCAGAUYUAGCUUGUUCCUAGUGGCGGACGGGUGAGUAAYGCGUGGGUAACCUGCCUCGCACUGGGGGAUAACAGUCAGAAAUGGCUGCUAAUACCGCAUAAGCGCACAGUACCGCAUGGUACAGUGUGAAAAACUCCGGUGGUGUGAGAUGGACCCGCGUUGGAUUAGCUAGUUGGCAGGGCAGCGGCCUACCAAGGCGACGAUCCAUAGCCGGCCUGAGAGGGUGAACGGCCACAUUGGGACUGAGACACGGCCCAGACUCCUACGGGAGGCAGCAGUGGGGAAUAUUGCACAAUGGGGGAAACCCUGAUGCAGCGACGCCGCGUGAAGGAAGAAGUAUCUCGGUAUG